CUAGUUUCUGUAUGUAGAUCUACAACACGGUCUUUUUGCUCUAUUUUUUCUUCUCUUAUUUAUGCCCUCCUCUAUCCUUUCGAUUUCCAUUUAUAACUUAACCCUGUAGGUAUAGGAGCAGAGUUUUUGGCUAUUACUGUGGCAUACAUUGUUACUUAUUGUUUCACUCCAUAAUGAAUUUGCUACAUCUAUAUAUGGUCUAUCCAGC